AACGAACGCUGGCGGCAGGCCUAACACAUGCAAGUCGAGCGAGGACUUCGGUUCUAGCGGCGGACGGGUGAGUAACGCGUGGGAAUGUGCCCUUCUCUACGGAAUAGCCCUGGGAAACUGGGAGUAAUACCGUAUACGCCCUAUUGGGGAAAGAUUUAUCGGAGAAGGAUCAGCCCGCGUUGGAUUAGGUAGUUGGUGGGGUAAUGGCCUACCAAGCCGACGAUCCAUAGCUGGUUUGAGAGGAUGAUUAGCCACACUGGGACUGAGACACGGCCCAGACUCCUACGGGAGGCAGCAGUGGGGAAUCUUAGACAAUGGGGGCAACCCUGAUCUAGCCAUGCCGCGUGAGUGAUGAAGGCCUUAGGGUUGUAAAGCUCUUUCAGCUGGGAAGAUAAUGACGGUACCAGCAGAAGAAGCCCCGGCUAACUCCGUG
rnacentral:rRNA from 1 species